AAGGCUCCUGGAGAAGCGGGCGUUUCAUGAUGUUUUGGAAGAACGACUGGGGAUCGGACGUAGUAAUAGAGAAGAGGAUCCACGACCCAGAGGAAAAGGCCUUGUCCCAGUGCCAUCGCGCCGCGCUGGCUGCGGACAUUGUAGGAGGGACGAACGCCGCCCGGAACCCGCCCAACCCAGCCUCCGGCAUCUCCAUGGCAACAACCUCCGCACAUGCGCCGCGAGCACCCGCGCCGGAGCUGGCAGCGCGCGCCGAAGCCCGACGCAGGCAGGGCGGAAGCGGGACCGGUGGGCUGGGACGGCUGGAGCGCGGGUGGGCGUUUAAAGGGGCCUUCGGCACCCGGUUCGGUUCGCCGCCGGGACUGCUGAUGGUGAGGGCUAGGUGGCCCCGGGAAUCGGGAUCUAGAAGCAUUCCUGCCACCUCCCUACCCCAUCGCGGUGCCCAGCCAUGGCCAGACCUCCCGUGCCCGGUUCGGUGGUUGUCCCAAACUGGCACGAGAGUGCCGAGGGCAAGGAGUACCUGGGUUGCAUUCUGCGCAAGAACCGCCGGCGGGUGUUUGGACUGCUUGAGCGGCCAGUGCUGCCACCGCCUGUGUCCAUUGACACUGCCAGCUACAAGAUCUUCGUGUCCGGGAAGAGUGGUGUGGGCAAGACGGCGCUGGUGGCCAAGCUGGCUGGCCUGGAGGUGCCUGUGCUACACCACGAGACCCCCGGCAUCCAGACCACCGUGGUAUUUUGGCCAGCCAAGCUGCAGGCCAGCGACCGUGUCGUCAUGUUUCGUUUUGAGUUCUGGGACUGUGGAGAGUCUGCGCUCAAAAAGUUCGAUCACAUGCUGCCGGCUUGCAAGGAGAACACAGAUGCCUUCCUCUUCCUUUUCUCCUUCACUGACCGUGCCUCCUUUGAAGACCUCCCUGGACAGCUGGCCCGCAUAGCAGGUGAAGCCCCUGGUGUCAUCAGGAUGGUCAUCGGCUCCAAUGGGACUGAUAGACUCAGACCCCCCUUGCCGUCCAGAUGAAAGUGGGACACACCAGGGCCAGACAGUUCCUAACUGUCCCCCCACCCCCGCGAUGGGGCGGACUUCGCGCUAGCCUGGAGAACCUUCGACCCCCGCGGCGGCGGCAGAGAUGGGGACUCCGGCAACGGAGCUGGCGCGAGAAGCUUCAGCAGAACCCGGAGGAGGUGAGCGCUGCGCGGGCGGGCUGCGAGUCCCAAGGCCGAGAGCAGACGCCCCAGGCCAGCUCUGAGACCUGCCCCGGCGCCUUCAGCAGCUCAUCUGUGAAAUGGGUUUGUCCGUAGUGUCAGCCCCGUGCAGGGGCUGUGACGGUUACACGGACGAAGGGUGUAGAGCGCUCAGCCCAGGGCCUGGCACAUUAGAGGUGCCCAAGAAAGGGGCAAGAUAAGUCACUAUACGACGCGGCCCACCCGCUGUCUCCGCGUUUGAAAAACGAGGGUGUUCGGUUUCCUCUUUGAAAUGUAAACGAUGAAACUCAUGUCACAGCUCUUUUGAAGGCGGAAAGGACCCACGCGAAAAAUGGGAUCUGUCACCUCCCGGCCGAGAUCGGGAGGGGAGGGGUUUGGGGGGGUCCCUCCCUCUCCUUUCCCGGGAGAGCAGCCCCGCGUAACGCCGCGCCCUUCGCGAGCUAAGCGCGCCUGGGAGCCGCAGCGCUUCACGGAGGAACUGAGCCUGCGCGCGCCGCCGCAGGUGGAGGGGCGGGGCGGGGUCCGCCCGGGGCGGAGUCACCACAGGGGCCGUAAUCCUGACCUUGACCCCAGGCCCGGCCAACCCUCGGCCGCAGAACGUGCCCAGCCGGUCGCAGGACUCUUGCAGGUGUGACAUCCGCAGCUCGGAGCCGGACAGGGCUUCUUUGAACUGCCUGGGUACCAGGUACCCGGUUCAGAUCUCAACUCUUGCCAAUUGCUGUGCCCAUACUGGGCUUGCUGGGGAUACUGGCAUAACUACCUACCCCUGGACCACGUAUGAGAGUACUUUGGGGAGAAGGUGGUCAUCGAUUUUGCCUGGCUAGGUUUCUAUUUGGCCUGGCGGCUGCCUGUCAGCCUGCUAAGCUGCCUCUUUGACCAUCCUGGAACUGUGUUCUUCAGCAUCUUCAUGGCCUUCCUGGAGCACUGGAAGUGGGGAGUGCCACCUUGGCCCACCACCGGGACUGCAGUGACUUCCAGGACCAGGAAGUGAUACCCAGCUCAGCUCUCUGGGCCCACAACCCCACUUCCCAGAGUUCUCAGAGGCCAUAAGGUGUACUGGGAAGAGUUCGGGCUUUGGAGUCCAACAUCCCAGGAUCCAAAUCUGGCUUCUCCUCACACUUUUCCUGGGUCACUUUCCACCCUUCUCUGACAUCAGGAUGAUAUAGGCUGGGUGAGGGGAAACUUUGGGAGUAUUUAGAUGUUCAGCUGGGCCUCGGAGAGAGACCCUCCCUAGAACCGAGAAGGAGAAAACAUUCCACCUACCCACGUACCCAUCCAGCUACCUACCUGUCUAUCCAAACAUCUAAUAAUUGAUCCUGAAUCUGUUCACCUCUCACUACCUCCUCUGCCACACCCCAGCCCUCCCCACUCCAGUCCAAGUCACAUUUCAUCUUUCCUGGAGAGCAGUUACCUCCUAACAGGUCUCCUUGCCCCACUUAAUUGGUUCUCAGCUGCCAAGAGGGUGACAUCCUGUGUUACCUUCCUCAAAGCCUUCCAGGACAGACUCAUUUAACAUGUACCUGGGAAACCAUCCAAAACCCUCACAGUGGCCUGCAAGGCCUUGUGCCAUCUGGUCUGUGGCUGGUUCUCCCCCACUGGCUCCACCAGAUCCUUGAAUAGGUCAGGUUCAUUUCCACCCUGGGGCUUUGGCACUGGCUUGCUCUCUGCCAGAAUCCUCUUCCUUCAACUUUUUGUUUGUUUGUUUUUUGUUUUGAGACGGAGUUUUGCUCUUGUUACCCAGGCUGGAGUGCAAUGGCGCAAUCUCGGCUCACUGCAACCUCCGCCUCCUGGGUUCAAGCAGUUCUCUUGCCUCAGCCUCCCGAGUAGCUGGGACUACAGGCGUGCACCACCACACCCAGCUAAUUUUUGCAUUUUUAGUAGAGACGGGGUUUCACCUUGUUGGCCAGGAUGGUCUCGAUCUCUUGACCUCGUGAUCCACCCGCCUCGGCCUCCCAAAGUGCUGGGAUUAUAGGUGUGAGCCACCGUGCCUGGCCUUUUUUUUUUUUUUUUUUUUUUUUGAGAUGGAAUCUUGCUCUGUUGCCCAGGCUGUGGUGCAAUUUCAGUUAACUGCAGCUUCCACCUCCCAGGUUCAAAUGAUUCUUCUGCCUCAGCCUCCCAAGUAACUGGGAUUACAGGCAUGUGCCACCACACCUGGCUAAUUUUUGUAUUUUUAGUAGAUGUGAGGUUUCACCAUGUUGGCCAGGCUGGUCUCGAACUCCUGACCUCAGGCCAUCUGCCUGCCUUGGCCUCCCAAAGUGCUGGGAUUACAGACAGAUGUGAGCCACUGUGCCCAGCCCCUUCAGAUUUUAUAUGGUCUACUCCUUGUCAUUCAAGUCUCAAAUGUCUCCUUACAGGGGUCUUCCCUGACCACCAAUCCAGAGAGGCUCCCUCUCGAUUAUUUAUUAUUUUUUUUGAGAUGGAGUUUCACUCUUAUUGCCUGGGCUGAAGUGCAAUGGUGUGAUCUCGGCUCACUGCAACCUCUGCCUCUCAGGUUCAAAUGAUUCUCCUAUCUCAGCCUCCCAAGUAUCUGGAAUUAUAAGCGCCUGCCACUAUGCCUGGCGAAUUUUUUUUAUUUUUAGUAGAGAUGAGGUUUUACCACGUUGGCCAGGCUGGUUGUGAACUCCCGACCUCAGAUGAUCCACCCACCUCGGCCUCCCAAAGUGCUGGGAUUACAGGUGUGAGCCACCACGCCCAGCCCCCUGUUUGAAUUUCAUCGCAGCAUUCAUCACUGUAUUUUAUGGUUUAUAAUUUUAUUAUCUGUCUUCUCCCACUGGCAUGUGAGCUCCAUGAGAGCAGAGACCUUGUGUGUGAUGUUGACUGCUGUAUCCCCAGUGCCCAGAAUGGUCUCUAGCAUAUAGAAGAUGCUCAAUAAAUGUUUGUUGAAUGAA